rnacentral:rRNA from 1 species
CGAGUUUGAUUCUGGCUCAGAACGAACGCUGGCGGCAGGCUUAACACAUGCAAGUCGAACGCCCCGCAAGGGGAGUGGCAGACGGGUGAGUAACGCGUGGGAAUGUACCCCAAGGUUCGGAACAACGCCGGGAAACUGGCGCUAAUACCGGAUGUGACCGAGAGGUGAAAGAUUUAUCGCCUUGGGAUCAGCCCGCGUUAGAUUAGCUAGUUGGUGGGGUAAUGGCCCACCAAGGCUACGAUCUAUAGCUGGUCUGAGAGGAUGAUCAGCCACACUGGGACUGAGACACGGCCCAGACUCCUACGGGAGGCAGCAGUGGGGAAUCUUGGACAAUGGGCGCAAGCCUGAUCCAGCCAUGCCGCGUGAAUGAUGAAGGCCUUAGGGUUGUAAAAUUCUUUCGCCGGGGACGAUAAUACGGUACCCGGAGAAGAAGCCCCGGCUAACUUCGUGCCAGCAGCCGCGGUAAUACGAAGGGGGCUAGCGUUGUUCGGAAUUACUGGGCGUAAAGCGCGUGUAGGCGGAUUUUUAAGUCGGGGGUGAAAUCCCAGAGCUCAACUCUGGAACUGCCUUCGAUACUGGGAAUCUGGAGCAAGAUAGAGGCGGGUGGAAUUGCGAGUGUAGAGGUGAAAUUCGUAGAUAUUCGCAGGAACACCAGUGGCGAAGGCGACUCGCUGGAUCUUUGCUGACGCUGAGACGCGAAAGCGUGGGUAGCAAACAGGAUUAGAUACCCUGGUAGUCCACGCCGUAAACGAUGAGAGCUAGUUGNCGGCACGCAUGCGUGUCGGUGACGCAGCUAACGCAUUAAGCUCUCCGCCUGGGGAGUACGGCCGCAAGGUUAAAACUCAAAGAAAUUGACGGGGGCCCGCACAAGCGGUGGAGCAUGUGGUUUAAUUCGAAGCAACGCGCAGAACCUUACCCACGCUUGACAUGUCCGGUUUGGUUUCCAGAGAUAGAUUCCUUCAGUUCGGCUGGCCGGAACACAGGUGCUGCAUGGCUGUCGUCAGCUCGUGUCGUGAGAUGUUGGGUUAAGUCCCGCAACGAGCGCAACCCUCGCCUUUAGUUGCCAUCAUUUAGUUGGGCACUCUAAAGGAACUGCCGGUGGCAAGCCGGAGGAAGGUGGGGAUGACGUCAAGUCCUCAUGGCCCUUACGCGUGGGGCUACACACGUGCUACAAUGGCGGUGACAAUGGGUUAAUCCCCAAAAACCGUCUCAGUUCGGAUUGUCCUCUGCAACUCGAGGGCAUGAAGUUGGAAUCGCUAGUAAUCGUGGAUCAGCAUGCCACGGUGAAUACGUUCCCGGGCCUUGUACACACCGCCCGUCACACCAUGGGAGUUGGUUUUACCUUAAGACUGUGCGCUAACCGCAAGGAGGCAGCAGGCCACGGUAAGGUCAGCGACUGGGGUGAAGUCGUAACAAGGUA